ensembl:lncRNA
CUAAGACCUGUGGCCAGAACCCAGGCUGAGGUUCAACUGGAAAUGCGCAGGCAGCCCCAGCCCUGCCACUGGGAGGAGACGAGUGAAUUGCUCAGCCCCGGGAGCUUCCUGCUGCCCUGACCAUGCAUUUCUAUUGCAGGCUCAGCAGCUCAGUCCCUGAGGAUUUCUCUGCUCCCCUGGAGCUCCCACAGCAGCACUUCGGCCUGGUAGAUGAUUAUGGCAUUAAGCCGAAGCACCCCCAGUUCCAGACUCGAGCACCCUGGAAGCAGCCUGCAGGCCUGCACCAAGCACACAAGAGCAAGCGGGAUGAGUCAGAUUUGGCAGAGUAUUAUUAUGACAACGUCCUGUGAGCUGCCCAGGCACUUGUUGCAGUGGGGUCUCGAUGAGCCCCAUGGGCAGCUCUGGCCCUGUGCAUUAG